rnacentral:misc_RNA from 1 species
AACACUGUUAACCUGCGGUACCUGCGGAGGGAUCAUUAAAAAGUUUCAAGAAUUCCAUGUUCUUAAACACCUUCAGUGUACUUGUAACUGUUGCUUCCGUGGGUAGUGGGCUGCAUGCCUGCGUUUGCCUUGUGUGGUGAACCCACGGGAGAUAUCUAUAAAUUCUACCUUUAGGUGAUAUCAGUCUGAAUGUGUUAAAUUGAAAACAUGAAAACUUUCAACAACGGAUCUCAGAUCGGA